rnacentral:tRNA from 1 species
GAGAAAGAAUCAAGAACUGCUAAUUCUCGUAUCCAUUCCUAAAAGUAUGGCUUUCUUA